CCAUGAUGCAUAACGCAUUUGGGGCAGUGGGGCUACCCGAGCCCCAAGUUGGAAGUCCUCUAGCUAGGGGGACGGCCAUGAAGCUGGUCCUUCCAGACCAGCUUGGUACUUGCACUAAGACUGCCCCGAUAACGGGUCGUGCCUCCGGGUUCACUUCAUCUGGCUCGGGUCUCGUUCGAGCCUUAAACCCAACUGCCUCAAACCCUUUGUUCUGAUAGUCUUAGAGUGACUACCUCUAUUCCCUCAGCAAGUAAGGCGAAGUGAUGAAGGAGGGGGCGGUAGUGCCGGGUAGAACUACUAAAGGCUUUCCAAUUCUUCUUAGAAUUCUUCUCUUCUUUUGCUCCUCACCUGCUGACCGAAUGCAGUGAGUUCACUCACGUAGC
rnacentral:lncRNA from 1 species